CAGAAAGACCCUAUGAAGCUUGACUAUAGUUUGGAGUAGUAUUUAGGCUUUAUCUGCGCAGUAUAAGUGGGAGGUAUUGACUCCUUCAUUUCGGUGAAGGAGGAACCGAUCUUGAGAUACCACUCUGGUAUAGCUCGAAUACUAACUAGAUUCCGUUUAUAUCCGGAUCUAGGAACACUUCAGAUGGGUAGUUUGACUGGGGCGGUCACCUCCUAAAGAGUAACGGAGGUGUACUAAGGUUCCUUCAGACUGGACGGAAAUCAGUUGUAGAGCAUAAAGGUAAAAAGGAGCUUGACUGCAAGGCCUACAAGCCAAACAGGAGCGAAAGCUGGUCUUAGUGAUCCGGCGAUUCCUUGUGGACGGGUCGUCGCUCAACGGAUAAAAGUUACUCUAGGGAUAACAGGCUGA
rnacentral:rRNA from 1 species